rnacentral:rRNA from 1 species
CCCUUAGAUGUCCGGGGCCGCACGCGCGCUACACUGAAGGAAUCAGCGUGGCUUUCUCCCUGACCCGAAAGGGUUGGGAGACCCGUUGAAUCUCCUUCGUGAUAGGGAUUGGGGCUUGAAAUUGUUCCCCAUGAACGAGGAAUUCCCAGUAAGCGCGAGUCAUAAGCUCGCGUUGAUUACGUCCCUGCCCUUUGUACACACCGCCCGUCGCUACUACCGAUUGAACGGUUUAGUGAGGGCCUCGGAUUGGUCUCGGCCCGCUCUUUACCGGGCGGCGCCGUUGGUCGAGAAGACGCUCGAACUUGAUCGUUUAGAGGAAGUAAAAGUCGUAACA